rnacentral:rRNA from 1 species
GCCGAACGCUGGCGGCGUGCCUAAUACAUGCAAGUCGAACGCAGUGGGGACGGGUGAGUAACACGUGGGUAACCUUCCAUCAGAGGGGAUAACACGUGGAAACAGGUGCUAAACCGACAUUGGUGGAUGGAACAGGGGGGGAUUAGCCAGGUGGUGAGGUAACGGAUCACCAAGGCCACGAUGCGUAGCCGCCCGGAGAGUGUGAUAGGCCAGACGGGGACUGUGACACGGCCCAGACUCCUACGGGAGGCCGCAGUAGGGAAUCUUCGGCAAUGGACGAAAGUCUGACCGAGCAACGCCGCGUGAGUGAAGAAGGUUUUCGGAGCGUAAAGCUCUGUUGUUAGAGAAGCGGUAUCUAACCAGAAAGCCACGGCUAACUACGGGCCAGCCGCCGCGGUGAUUC